UAGCGAUUUCAACUUCACGUAGUCGAGUUGCAGACUACGAUCCGGACUACGAUACACUUUCUGGGAUUAGCUCCCCCUCGCGGGUUGGCGGCCCUCUGUAUGUACCAUUGUAUGACGUGUGAAGCCCUACCCAUAAGGGCCAUGAGGACUUGACGUCAUCCCCACCUUCCUCCGGUUUGUCACCGGCAGUCUCAUUAGAGUGCUCAACUAAAUGUAGCAACUAAUGACAAGGGUUGCGCUCGUUGCGGGACUUAACCCAACAUCUCACGACACGAGCUGACGACAGCCAUGCAGCACCUGUGUUCAGGUUCCCUUUCGGGCACUCUCUGAUCUCUCAAAGAUUCCUGACAUGUCAAGGGUAGGUAAGGUUUUUCGCGUUGCAUCGAAUUAAUCCACAUCAUCCACCGCUUGUGCGGGUCCCCGUCAAUUCCUUUGAGUUUUAAUCUUGCGA
rnacentral:rRNA from 1 species